UGCAGUCGAACGGUAACAGCACUUCGGUGGCUGACGAGUGGCGAACGGGUGAGUAAUACAUCGGAACGUGCCCGAGAGUGGGGGAUAACGCAGCGAAAGCUGUGCUAAUACCGCAUACGAUCUACGGAUGAAAGCAGGGGACCGCAAGGCCUUGCGCUCAUGGAGCGGCCGAUGGCAGAUUAGGUAGUUGGUGGGAUAAAAGCUUACCAAGCCGACGAUCUGUAGCUGGUCUGAGAGGACGACCAGCCACACUGGGACUGAGACACGGCCCAGACUCCUACGGGAGGCAGCAGUGGGGAAUUUUGGACAAUGGGCGAAAGCCUGAUCCAGCCAUGCCGCGUGCAGGAUGAAGGCCUUCGGGUUGUAAACUGCUUUUGUACGGAACGAAAAGGUCUUUUCUAAUAAAGAAGGCUCAUGACGGUACCGUAAGAAUAAGCACCGGCUAACUACGUGCCAGCAGCCGCGGUAAUACGUAGGGUGCAAGCGUUAAUCGGAAUUACUGGGCGUAAAGCGUGCGCAGGCGG
rnacentral:rRNA from 1 species